CUGAAUUUAAUCGUUCCAGAGGUUGUAGACAAGGAUGCCCAUUAUCUCCGUUAUUAUUUGCCCUAGCUAUCGAACCACUUGCAGAAAGUAUUAGAGCU